CACUGGUCGAGUGAUCCUGCGCCGAAGAUUUCCGGGGCUAAAACUUACUACCGAAGCUACGGCAUCAUUAUGAUGGGUAGGGGAGCUUCCCAUACGGGUUGAAGCAUGACCGUAAGGACAUGUGGACAGUAUGGGAGUGAGAAUGUUGGCAUGAGUAGCGAGAUGUGGGUGAGAAUCCCACAGGCCGUAAACCCAAGGUUUCCAG
rnacentral:rRNA from 1 species